ACAAGUGUUUGCUAACAAAUCGGCCAUAGCAUGAGGUGAUAAGUGAUAUGAUAAAAAGUGGGAAGAAGAUGAGC
ensembl:ncRNA Y45G5AM.11 ncRNA